GCCUAAGACAUGCAAGUCGAACGAAGUGGCCCAUUGAAGAUUGAGUGCUUGCACAAUUUCUGAUUUGGAUUUCCACUUAGUGGCAGACGGGUGAGUAACACGUGGGUAACCUACCUGGAGACUGGGAUAACUACUGGAAACGGUAGCUAAUACCGGAUGAUUCAUAAUUAGAUAACUAGUUAUGCUAAAAGGAGCGUUUGCUUCACUUCAGGAUGGGCUUGCGUUGUAUUAGCUAGUUGGUGGGGUAAUGGCCUACCAAGGCAACGAUGCAUAUCCGAACUGAGAGGUUGAUCGGACACAUUGGGACUGAGACACGGCCCAGACUCCUACGGGAGACAGCAGUUAGGAAUAUUCGUCAAUGGGGGAAACCCUGAACGAGCAAUGCCGCGUGAGUGAUGAAGGUCUUAUUGAUCGUAAAACUCUGUUGUAAGGAAAGAAACCUUAUCAUAGGAAAUGAUGAUAAGCUGACGGUACCUUACCAGAAAGCCCCGGCUAACUACGUG
rnacentral:rRNA from 1 species